rnacentral:tRNA from 1 species
GAGAAGCUAGUCUAACAAGACAGCUGAUUUCGACUCAGCAGAUUAUGGUUCAACCCCAUAGCCUCUCU